CCUACGGGUGGCUGCAGUGAGGAAUAUUGGUCAAUGGACGAGAGUCUGAACCAGCCAAGUAGCGUGAAGGAUGACUGCCCUAUGGGUUGUAAACUUCUUUUAUAUGGGAAUAAAAUGUUCCACGUGUGGGAUUUUGUAUGUACCAUAUGAAUAAGGAUCGGCUAACUCCGUGCCAGCAGCCGCGGUAAUACGGAGGAUCCGAGCGUUAUCCGGAUUUAUUGGGUUUAAAGGGUGCGUAGGUGGUUUAUUAAGUCAGUUGUGAAAGUUUGCGGCUCAACCGUAAAAUUGCAGUUGAAACUGGCAGUCUUGAGUACAGUAGAGGUGGGCGGAAUACGUGGUGUAGCGGUGAAAUGCUUAGAUAUCACGAAGAACUCCGAUUGCGAAGGCAGUUCACUGGACUGCAACUGACACUGAGGCUCGAAAGUGUGGGUAUCAAACAGGAUUAGAUACCCGUGUAGUC
rnacentral:rRNA from 1 species